CAGCCAGGUACUCCUUCACCACCAGUGGUAACUGCUCCUUGGUGACAUUCUAGAUGAGGAAGCCACACUCACCCUGAGGUGUAGGGUGCCAGCUGGGCCAAUGGUAGGCACACCAGUGACUUGGGCCCUGGCUCAGCACCCCGAGGAGUUUUUGGCCUGAGGUCAGAGAGAAAGGGGAGCUUCCUGGAAAGUUCUCCCUCUUGGGUGAGUCUUACUCCUGUGUUUUUACUGCAUGAGCACCGCCUGCCAUGUCCCUGAGGAAGCCUGGGGAGCCUUGCCCACCAGCAGCCAUCUGAUCCCAUGCCAAACCCCAUGCCCCCCAAGAAAGAUUUCCGUCCUGGCUGGGAGCCCUUUGUGAAGAGUAACUACUAGUGCUUGUUUAGUGGGAACUUCAUGAUCUGUUCCGCAAGAAAAGGGCCCAGGUGUGGGCCAGGCUCAAACAUCAGGAGGGAUUCCAGCCAGCGCCACACGAGGCGUCAAGGCUCUUGCCCAAGUAAAUGGUAAGUUCUCAGAGCACAGAGCCCAGGAAGAGCCCCCACCUUUCCCACAUUCUUGCUGCCAUCCUGUCCCUCACUACCACCUGGGUCGGAGCUGAUGUAGGGGCUGGGAGGAUUCCCCCUGAGCUGGGGCAUCCACCCUGACCCAGGAGCAGGCAGGAUGCCGGGAUUUGCAGCUGCCUGGAGGCUAAGGAAUGGACACGAGGACACAUCCGAAUGACAAGCUGAAAACUUGCAGCCCCCAAGCCUCCAAGAGACUAUACUUCUUUCCCCCUGUCAUUCCUGGCCAGCUCUUACUACACAGGGUCUAUAGGAGGCUCCCAAGCUCUUGGGAGUCUCCAGAGAGGCCACUGGGAUCUGAUCCGGUGCCCAGCACUACCCAAGAGACAUCCUUUGCUACCCCCCCUGUGGUGGGCACCCCUCCUUUCACUUACAAAAGGCAAGACCCAGCUGAACUCCAUGCUGUUGACACCCAAAAGGUAGGGCACAGGUGCAACCUGCCCCCGGGUCAGGAGCUCCACAGGAUUGUCUAGGAACACCACGCCGUCCACCACGGGGCUCAUGAACCACACAAUCUAUAAGACAAGGGGGUUUCCAGCCAGUCCUCCGACAGAGCCUCCCUGUGGUCCAGGGUGCCCAGCUCAGCGGGUCCCCCUCCCGAGACUGCUUGAGUUAAAGGCCCUUUGGGGAAAAGCUGAGGCUUGGUGACCCUGGGGAGGGCAGGGAGAGUACCGGCCACAGGCAGGAUGAGGCUACUCAGACUUAGGAUGCCCCCGCCAAGGUAUUCCCAUUCACACCUCUUGAAAAUCCUUGCUAAGCCUUCUCGGUCCCUUCUAUUUAAAAUUCCACUCCUCCCAACAUGUCCAACCUCCUUACCCUGCUCCUUUUGUUGCUAUUCAUUUAUCACCUUCUAAAGAGGUGAAUAACUUAUUUAUUUAUACUGUUUAUUGUCUCUCCCCACUGGAACAUCAGCCCCACAGGGGAAGGAAUCUUGGCCUGAACAGUUCACAGAGUAUCCUGGGUGCCUAGUAUAUAGUACAUGUACAAUACAUAUGUAUUCAAAUUGGAGAGUGAGGCCUGCUCACCUCUUGAGGGUCUUCCUGGAAAUUCAUAUGGAAGAAUCUCUGUGGGGAGAGAAGGGGACCAGAGGUAAAAGAAGUCUCUCCAGUGUGCUCCUGAGACAGAGUCCCUGGGGCGGCUGGGUACCAGGUCAGGAGGGUGGUUUGCAGGCAGCCAGGUCAGAGAGCUGGAAGGAAGUUCUGCCUACCAUUUUCUUGGACACACGCAUCAUCUCGGCCCCUGAUCGUGCCCUCAGGCAGUCCACCAGAAUCUUUGUGCUGUUGUGGCUGCAGCCUGCCAGAUGGGCAAUCUUCUGUGAAGAGAAGAAGUGCUCGGGGGUACCCCCAGCCUGCCUCUCCUUGCUGAGCCCUAGGGGAGAGGAGACACUCACCUUGGCCACCUUCAGUGGAUCAGGAGUGAUGAAGACUUUGAGUACUGCGGUGCCGCUCUGGGAAAUGGCCCGAUGGAAGAGACCCUGGGCUAGGGGUGAUGUCAUCUGCAAGAGAGGUGAGCAUGGCACCCAUGAGAAUGCACUGGACCACUUGGGCAGUUUGGGGUUCCUGUCUGGCCAUGGCUGGGCAGCCUGAAGUGGCCCAGAGAGGGCAGAAGCUGGGAGGGAGUCAGGAGUUCUGGGUUGGAGUCCUAGAUCUAGAGCCAGUGCCUUCCUGCCUCUGGGCAUCCUUAUCCUGGUCUGUGCAAUGAGCCCCAGGGGUCCCAGAGAGAAUCUGGUGUUAUAGUGGUCCUGCUGUCAUAACAACCAGAAAGGUCUUCCUUUUCUGCUGCUGGGCUAGAAAUGUGGGAGGGGUACCCUAUGUUUCCCACGGCCCCAGUUACUUGCACUGGUAGUUCUUAGCCUUCCUCUGCUGCCCAAAUUGGGGGGAAGCUACUAUAUCUGGAUCCCCCAUCCUGUCCCUUGGGUACUUCAUGUGCCUUAUACUUGCUCCAGCCAGUCCCCAUCUAUGUGGUGGCCCUCACCCAACACCAUCUACUAGCCCCAGGGGCCUUCCCUCCUCCGCACACUGCUGCUGCUCCAGUUCUGUCCACUUGGCCUCCUGCAUCACUCUGCAACCAUCCUCUACUGCCCAUCCUUCCUACCUCCAUUUCAGAACCAGCCCCCAUUAGAUAUACCGUCCCCACCGCAAGUUGGUCUCCAAGCUUGUGCUUCUUUUUAACCCAGUUCCAGCAGACUGAGCCAACUCUAAAUACACAUCUGAUUGUCACUUCUCUGCUUAAAAUUUUUCCCUGCUCUCCAGUGCAUUUUCUUUUUUUUGAUGGAGGUACUGGGGAUUGAACCGAGGACCUCGUGCAUGCUAGGCAUGCACUCUGCCACUGAGCUAUACCCUCUCCUCCUCCAGUACAUUUUUAAAUAAAAUUGCUUAACUUC